AGAGGUUUGUCCAGGAACAAAGGUCAGAUUGAAUUCUCUGAAGUUCGGUGAAUACAGUUGGGAUGCAUCCCUGUGAAUCCAAAACCUAAGGUAUUUAGUGACUUCUGAGCGCCACCUGAAUCAGAAUUGGGAUUUAAGUCUAGCUUCCUCUGAAGAAGGGACUGAAAUAUUCAAAAUUUUGCUUUUGUUCAAAUUUAGUUCCAGAUUUGACAGUUUACCAUAAUCUGCAUA